rnacentral:rRNA from 1 species
CAGCUCUCCGAGUGGUAGGGAUGAUUAUUGGGCUUAAAGCGUCCGUAGCCGGCCUAGCAAGUCUUCCGUUAAAUCCAGCAACCUAAUUGUUGGGCUGCGGGGGAUACUGUUAGGCUAGGGGGCGGGAGAGGCCGACGGUAUUCUCGGGGUAGGGGUGAAAUCUUAUAAUCCCGGGAGGACCACCAGUGGCGAAGGCUGUCGGCUAGCACGCGCCUGACGGUGAGGGACGAAAGCUGGGGGAGCGAACCGGAUUAGAUACCCGAGUAGUCC